GUAGUGUAGCGGUUAACACACUAGGCUGCUAACCAAAAGGUUGGAGGUUCUAGUCCACCC
rnacentral:tRNA from 1 species